CCUUCCCCAAGGGCUCUCUGAGAAUGGCCUCAGGACCUGGAGACUUUGUCUGCUGUCCACCACACCAGUUGUUUGGCCAGCCAGGGUAACUACUAGCUCCCUCAAGCCUGAGAAACAGGCUGUGUUUGUAUUGCGGGCUCCCUAUCCCUAUUAGAUAAUCUGGGGAGUGAAGAAUUGUGCCCAUUUUAUAGCUAGAAAAACUAAGGCACAGACGGCUGAUUCUCAGGCAAAGGUCUUACCACCAACCAGUAGAACAGAGCCCAACUAGAACCAAGGUUUUCUGACCAAUCCAGUGCUCUUUCUUUGGUCCUGUUCUGAUGGGCCUGGAUCAGCUCUGGUUCUUUCUGAACCCUUGGAAGGGGGCCAUGUCAGUCUGGGCUGGACCCCUGCAGGAAGGAUGUGGGUGCUGACCAGGGGUAUGUCUUCCCUGAUCCCAGAGGGUUUGAUUGAUGCCAAGAUCUUGCCAACACCAUGCAACACAAGGUUUGAUAAAAAUCUCUUUGCUGUCCGCAGGUUUUUAUUUGAUAUUUUAAUUGAUUUCCCUGUACUCAGGUAUAUCUAGUUUUGUUUUAGGCUGUUUCCUGGAAGGCAGUGGCCACUUGUGUGGAAUCAGCUUUAGGGCUUCAGCCCUAAGUCUCACGUCAGGCCUCCAGAGAGGUCAUGGGGGCAUGGGGGAGGGAAUAAAUGCUUAGCUUCAAACACACCUGGGUUCAAAUAUUGGCUCUGGCACUUACUAGCUAUGUGACCUGGGGAAAGUCACUUAACCUCUGACACCCAUUUCCUCAUCUAUAAAAUAAGGCGAGUAACGGCUACCUCCUAGAACUGGCGUGAGGAUUGAGGGUACUGUAUGUAAAGGGCCGGACCCUCCUAAGAGCUCAAGGAAGGGUGGUCAGGGGGAGUGGAGAUUACCCCAUUGGGUCUGGGCUGGUCAGCGGCCUCUUUUUUGUUGACCUGAAGCCUGGGGCAGCCACCUUGCCCGCUCUGAGUUCCCUGGGUACUUCAUUGUUCUAUGGCUUUCUGGGUUGGGUCUGGUAAACAAUUCCAGAAUUCCUUUUCUUCCCUUUUAGAGACAGAAGGAGUUUCUGGCCAGGCAGGUCUAAGGGCAGUGGGUCUCAUGCUUGAGUUCCUUGUCUAGGCCCAUGGCUCUGCCAGGUGUGGUUUUGGGCAUCUCUUCACCUCUCUGGGCCUCAGAAACAUGGAUGCCUUGGCCUGUAGGAUGUCUUACAGCUCUACGAUGUUAGAAUCCUAUCCUUGGGUGUCAGGCAUGUACCUGGGGGAACUAUUCUCUUGAUAGCUAGUGGGAAGCCAUGCCCCUCAUGUCACCUCCAAGGCUCAUCACAUGGCCUUGGACCCGCAGUGGGUGACGUUCCCCAGCUGCAAUUGGUCCCACAGAUCCAGACCAAUCGGAGCCUUCCCGAGUACCUGGCUCCAGCUCUGCUUCGGGGCGCAGUGUUGUGGUGGUACCACAGGGUGGCUCAUGAGGAUGUUCCAUUCUCCCAUCUCCAUCAGUUCUCAGAGCCCCACGCCAAUUAAACAUAAGAUCUAAGAAAACAAUAAUGCAAUUUUGAGGGGCAGGUGCAGGGUUAAGACAAGGCCUUUAAACCUGAAUCCCCUUCAAACCUGACUGCCACUCCUAAACUUGUCCUUUAUACACAUUUGGCAGCUUCCAAAGGAGCCAAACCUUGGACCAUGCUCCGCAGCCUCGGCCCCUACCAGGCCUAACCCUGGGGCCCUGGGUCUGUACUGACUGGCGUGCUGCAAAAGCACCUUGGUUCUGAAGUCCCUCAGAACCAUGUGGUGGCAGGGCUGUCAGGAGCUUCAGGGAUCAUCUCUCCUCUAUUCUCUUUGAGCAGAUAAGAAACCAAGGCCAGAAGUGGGAAGAGACUUGCCCAAGGCCACACAGCUAGUGAGAGCCAGAGCCAGGCCUUAAAUCUGGAUUUUCUGACUCUGAAUGCUCUUUUUACUUCAUCAGCCUGGCCAGGAGGGUCUCCACUGCCUACCACCACCCGGGCCACGAGGUUUUGAGGCCACUCUAGCAACCUGAGAGAAGUGGGAGGCAUUGGGCCCACUCCUGGACGCCUUGCCUGGGGGCACUGGUGCCCGGCCACUGGCUUCAGAAGUGGCUCCAGGGGGCUAGGUGGGAAGCAGGAGGCCAUUAGGACCCAGAAGCUCUCAGAGCAUCUUGCUCUGCCGGCUGCCUCUCACCAUCACUGCAGUGGUUCAGGCUUCAGCAGCCUUGGAGGAGCAUCAGCUGAGAAGAGCUAUCACAUGGGAGCCGGGAGCUGCUCAGCAAAGCCACUGUGGAGGGCGCCGUCAAGUGCAGCAUGGCAUGGUGGGCUAGAGUACUGGCCCUGGAGCCAGACUGCCUGGGAGUGUCCCUGGACCUUACCACUUACUAGCUGUGUGACCUUUGAUGCCUUUGUGAGGAAACAGAAGUUCAGAAGAGUCAUAGAGUUACUUAACUCCCAGACCUGGGACUGGAAACCAAGCCUCGUGCUCCCUCUACUCCUCAACAGCUCCUGCCAGUCUGAGGAGACAGGAAAUCAGGGAAUUUACAUAAACCACCUCCAAACUGGGGCACUAUCCCGGAGCUCAGCAGGACCCUGGGCAAGGGAGACAGAGGAUUUAGAAUCUCUGGAUAACAGUCCUUGAAAGGCGAGAAGAGUUUGGAGAAGACAGGAAAGGAAGUGGAAAAGAAGGAGCCGGAGACCACUCGGAAGGUGGAACGCUGAGUGGACAAGGCCCCUGCGUUUUUCACGUCUGCUCUGCUGCUGCUUCGCAGUCACCAAGGUGGACCCAGAGCUACCUCCUGCCAGAAAGGAGAGAGGAGCUCCUGAGCCCUCAGUUAGUGGCCUGGCGCUCUGUAUGUGCAGCCCAGCCUCGAAGGCUGCCACUAAGAGCCUGCCUGAGAGGCUCCAGCAGGAGGCGCCCUCUCCCCCGACUCCCACUCGCUGACAAAAUUGGGAAGCCUGGGCCUGGGCUUGCCAUCCCAGGGUCACUGGACUAGGAUGGGGGAUGGGCCUGUGACAGGAGGUACCCUGGGUGUCCUUUUUCGGCCCCAUGGAGUCCUCACCCAUCCCAGAGUCAUCAGGGAACUCUUCCACUCUGGGGAAGGUCCUUCAAACCCCAGGUCCCUCUACUGCCAGUGGGGUGCCGGAAGUGGGGCUGCGGGACGUGGCUUCAGAAUCUGUGGCCCUCUUCUUCAUGCUCCUUCUGGACUUGACCGCUGUGGCUGGCAAUGCUGCUGUGAUGGCUGUUAUCGCCAAGACACCUGCUCUCCGGAAAUUUGUCUUCGUCUUCCACCUCUGCUUGGUGGAUCUGCUGGCCGCACUGACCCUCAUGCCCCUGGCCAUGCUCUCCAGCUCCGCCCUCUUUGACCAUGACCUCUUUGGGGAGGUCGCCUGCCGCCUCUACUUGUUCCUGAGCGUAUGCUUUGUCAGCCUGGCCAUUCUCUCAGUGUCAGCCAUCAAUGUGGAGCGCUACUAUUAUGUGGUCCACCCCAUGCGCUACGAGGUGCGCAUGACGCUGGGGCUGGUGGCCUCUGUGCUGGUGGGUGUGUGGGUAAAGGCCUUGGCGAUGGCUUCUGUGCCAGUGUUGGGAAGGGUCUCCAGGGAGGAAGGAGCUCCCAGCAUCCCCCCAGGCUGCUCACUCCAGUGGAGCCACAGUGCCUACUGCCAGCUCUUUGUGGUAGUCUUUGCUGUCCUUUACUUCUUGCUGCCCCUGGUCCUUAUCCUCGUGGUCUACUGCAGCAUGUUCCGAGUAGCCCGCGUGGCUGCCAUGCAGCAUGGACCACUGCCCACGUGGAUGGAGACACCCCGGCAACGCUCGGAGUCUCUCAGCAGCCGCUCCACCAUGGUCACCAGCUCAGGGGCCCCCCAGACUACACCGCACCGGACGUUUGGGGGCGGGAAGGCGGCAGUGGUGCUCCUGGCCGUGGGGGGGCAGUUCCUGCUCUGUUGGUUGCCCUACUUUUCUUUCCACCUCUACGUUGCCCUGAGCACUCAGCCCAUUUCGACUGGGCAGGUGGAGAAUGUGGUGACCUGGAUCGGCUACUUCUGCUUCACUUCCAACCCUUUCUUCUAUGGAUGUCUCAAUCGCCAGAUCCGGGGGGAGCUCAGCAAGCAGUUUGUCUGCUUCUUCAAGCAGGCCCCAGAGGAGGAGCUGAGGCUGCCUAGCCGGGAGGGCUCCAUUGAGGAGAACUUCCUGCAGUUCCUUCAGGGGACUGCCUGUCCCACAGAGUCCUGGGUUUCUCGACCUACACCCAGCCCUAAGCAGGAGCCACCUGCUGUUGACUUUCGAAUUCCAGGCCAGAUAGCUGAGGAGACCUCCGAGUUCCUGGAGCAACAACUCACCAGCGACAUCAUCAUGUCGGACAGCUACCUCCGUCCUGCCCCCUCACCUCGACCAGAAUCAUGAUGGGCUGCUGGACACUUGGAGAGAGAUGGGGCUGGGGGCCGGUUAUGGCUGCAAGGAACACCUUGUGGGACCACCUUUUCCCAGCUAGCUGGGGCUAGGGCUGGGGUCUCUGCACACAGCUUUCGCUUAGUGUUUUCUGGGUCAGGAACAGAGCCAACAGGAUGGACAUGUGGUGAAAGCCUUGGACAUGGCUAUGAUCCUUGACUACUGGGGGAGGGGACCUGGUGAGAUGGUGACGAGAGUAAUGGGUCACGAAGGACUGGCCUCCCUGGUCUCUCUCCUCAUGGCAGUGACCCACCUCCAGCCCCCUGGACAAUCGGGUACAAGAGACUAAGGUUGGGAAUGGGAUGGAUGGGGUUUCCCUGGUCCAUUAAAUGCCUCCCUACUCCCAUUCAUUGCUCUUAACAUUAGCUUCAGUGACAAAGACUUAAAUCUCUCUCCUAUCUGCAGCCCUAGGUUGGAGAGAGAGCAAAAGAGUUGGGCUCAGCCGUUCACAACUGAGACUGUAGGAAAUGUGUUGGUUUGUAUUGGUGAUGGUAUUUUCAAGGGAAGCGGAAUAAUUGCAAACUGGACAGGACACCCAUCUGGGACUACCUGUCCAUCCCACUCCCCUCAAUUGAAUCAGGUAACAUAAAAGUGUUGAGGCUGGACCAGAGGGUGGUGUGGUCUGUAUUUGAACAAAUUCCUGGCUCAGUGAGCAUCAAAGGGGAAGAUGGGCUGGUGGGAGUGGGACAGAUUCCCUUUGAACAGCCAAUAAAUAAUUUUUAUUAUAAAAAGUUAUACUGAUAUCAACAUGACUCCUUCAGUUCAAUUCAGUGCAUAAUAGUUGAAUACCCAAUAUUCUCUGGGACUCACACAGAGCAUGUGGCGUCACUGCCUUCAAGGAGUUCAUAGUCCAAUUCGAUCAGGUACCUUGUAUUUUUACAUCUGGUAAAGCACUAUAGAAUGUGUUUGAGAAAUAUAUUGGAGAAUAUGUUCAUGGUUCUGAGAGUUCAGUCCAUUGCAGCAAGAUACCUACAUGGAGGCUUCCUGCAGAUUGUGGGAAGUACAGGGGUUGUCACUGAAACUCUAGUUGAAGAAAAUAAUUUAUUAAAUGAAACUUGGGCAAACAGCUUUUCCCCUCUAGGAAAAUUUCCAGGUUUCUGUCUUCCUACCACUAGACUGCCUCUAGUCUAGCGCCUAUUACAUUGAGGAAAUCCCUUAGAUAAUACAUACACGGAAGAGAGUCUUUCGUGAUCAAAAAACAUGCUUGCCUCUCUCUCCUCCCUUUUAAGAUAAACUCCUGGAUGGGGGGAGAACUCUUCUUCCAAACAGCACUGAUCAGCUAGUAGGCCCUAGGCAUUACCAGCAGGUGGCGGUGUGAGUCCAGUGGAAGUAGGAAAGGUGUGGUCCGGCGUGGGCAGGAGGGGAGAAGGGAAGGCUCUAAACAUUGCCUGGCAGCCAUUUUGUCAAUUUAUUUUGCCUUUUCCUUUGACUUUGCCCUUCAACCCUUUCUUUACAUACAUCAAAGAAAAUUUUAAGUAGCAAGGAUAUCUCUAAUUCAGGCUGACAUUUCCUGACACUGUGAUCUCACUGGCGUUUAUUACGGAAUUUGACCUGCGCUAGUUCAUUUGUCAUUUAUUUUUCCCUGAGUGGAUCAUGAAGGAAAUAAAAAUUUCUGUUAUGCUGAGAACUUUCCCAACAAUUUCUGUCAUUAACACCUUUCAGGAAUUUUCUAGUUACCAGGAUUGCUUGGUAAGGUUCAAUACGUAAUCCUUAGCUGUGAAAGCUGUUCCUGGACAAAUUUUGACCUCUCUAAUCCACUGAAGAAUCAACAGGUUGAGACAACCGGCCUGUCACUUUUUCCGCACCCUAGUGAUGGUGGGGUAACUCUCAAUCCUGGAUGGAAACCUUCUGUUGUCAGGUCUCCCCAGGUAACAUCUUAGAGUGGUAUGGCAGACAAAGAGGUGAAUUUGGAGUCAGGUCUACUUACUCACUGUGUGAACUUGGGAAAGAUGCUUAAUUUCUCUGAGCCUAUUUCCUCAUCUGUAAAAAUGGGGAUAACACUACCUACCUCACAGGGUUGUUGUGAGGAUUAAAAGAGAUGACACGUGGAAGCACCUAGCCAUACCUGGCAAAUAGGUACUCAAUAAAUAUUGGUUUUUCUUCCCUCUCCUCUUGCCCUUUUUCCCCAUAAGUAUUGAUUGUGGGAAAGCAGUCCCUUUUAUUCUAACAGGUUUGGGAAUGAGUAGACUUUUCAAACUUUGAAGAACUGGCAUUGAUAAUUGAUGGUGGAUGAGGUUAUUCAAGGUGCCCCUCAAGAAAUCUAAUUAACGAAUCAUCACCAUAUAGACCUUUCUGUUGGGACCUGACAUUCUAAGGUUUACAUUCUAUUAGGGAAAUAAUUUUUAAUCAGGGAAAGGUUUUGGAGGCUACAAGAGUUCCCCUCCCUAGAAUGUAUGCUGAGAGUUAUUUGUGGGGCUAUUUGGCAGUAAAGGUAAUUUAGGGCCACCUUCACGGUAGUACCCAGGAUUAUAAGCGAAAAAGGUUAUCAGUCUGGGGCUUUCAUAGGAGAUUUAAUUUUCAGGUGAUGCUAGACCCGAGAGGCAAAUUUUACUAGAACUUCCCUUUUGGGGUACCACAACAGUAAAUUUUAGCAGGAGAUUCACAGGAUGCACUGGUUUGUUUCGGGGUGUGGGACUGGGGUUGACUAAUCUUGGUAGAAUCCUAAACCCCCAACGCAGGACAAUCUGUAAGCACCAAAAACGACUUAUUUGGGAGAAAGGCAGCAUGGAAACUUUAUGGAGGACUACACGCUUCCCUUUCAAGUUAACAGGGUAUUUGUUAGCGACUUCAAGUGGCCCUUUGCCAACAUAGUAGCUGGGCAACUCUCAAGCCCAGAGAAAUUCGUACGCAACGGACCGAGGACCAGGGUCCACUUCGAGAGGAGGAAGCGCUGGGCCAGAGUGGGCAGAAAAGGAUCGCUGAAGUCCUUGGCAUGGUCGGUCUUACAGAUCUCAGAUGUGAAGCGUGGCUGGGGCCCAGGCUUGGGAGUUCGUUCCCAUCCCAUAGAUCUAGCUGAAAUGAUCCUGGCAGCGGAAGUGUCUUACACUUGGGCAGGGGCCCCGGGUCUCCAAGGUCAGAGAUCAAAGGGGCUUUCUCGUCAGUGAGAAAUUCCCAGCAGAAAUUCCCAUGCGGGCUGUGGGCUCUUAUUUGGGAAUUCCCCCCACUCACGCCCCAGCCAAACUAGGCUGUGUGACCUCGGGAGGGCGCCAUGAACUGGAGAGAACAGUCCCCCGUUUUUCUACAUUUAUCCGAAUAAGGCAGCCGAAAAGGUGAAAGAGAACUAAGGUCGAGCGUCGCUCAGCGAGCUCGACAGCCCCUCGC